ACACAAUAAGGAAAUAUUCACACCAUCCAUGCGUACAUUAAAUCUAAAGAGAGUUGCUCAAAUAAAGAUAUAUCACUUACUCUUCAAAAAUUUCAACCUGAACGAAUUCUAUAAGUUAACAACCCUCAACCACCAAAUCAAAUACGGGAAUUCGAAUCACAUAAAUUUGUUGAAUGUUGUUUUUUGCCAAUGAAAUUCUGUUGCCUUGGAAAAUGCCUAAUUUUCCACCUCCAAUUCAUUCUUAGCAACUCCAUAAUUGCCUCUGUCAAGCAUGAAUUUAGCUAAGUAAUACUUCUUUCUUCAGUCGAAUGCAAUGGUAGAUCUUAACAUGAUCAAGUUUCGAAGAAAUUUAAUUAAAAAUUUUAAAAAAAUUAAUUAAAAUUUUAAAAAUUAUUAUAGAUCUAAUGAGAACUUUUUUCUAAAAAAAAUGGGGUGUUUAAAUAAAUUUUUUUAAAUUACGAGGUUCAAUAAGAUUUUUUUUUUUAAGUUCGAAGCUUACUUACAUUUUUUAAAAGUUUCGAAAUUUUUAAUAAAAGUCGCUAAAAUUUUUCGAUAGUCGAAAAUUUCUAUAUAAAGAAAAAGAAGAAUCUUAUAUUUGGUACCUAUACUUUUAUAAAAGGUCUAAUAUGGUACUUAAAUUAUUCAUAUGUGUUUUAUUAUGGUAUUUAAAAUUUCAUAAGAUGUCCAAUGUAAUACCUCUAUUUUGAAAAUAUUCAAUGUGGUACUCAAAUUGUAUCAUAAUAAAACACAUAUUGAUAGUUUAGGUGCCGUAUUGGACAUAUUCAAAGUUGAGGUACCACAUUGGAUAUUUUAUGAAAGUACAUGUACCAUAAUAAAAACAUGUAUUGAUAGUUUAAUUAUCACAUUAGAUAUUUCAAAGUACAAGUACCACAUAGAACAUUUUAUGAAAGUAAAGGUACUAAAUGUGAUGUAUCCAUAAAGAAAAUCCUAGCUCCCAUUACUUCUGAUUGAAGGUUAACUAGAGUUGUCCGUGGGUCGAGUCGAGCCCUAACAAAAUUUCAGGCUCGAUUGAUAGGCUUAGGCCCGACCCAAAAAAUGGGCUAAAAUUUUUUGUCCAAUCCCGUCCUAGAUAAAAAUGUUAAAACCCGAACUCGGCCAGGUGCACCCGUAUUAAUUUUUUUAUUUUAUUUUUAUAUAAAAAAUUAAAAAUAUAAUACACCAAGUACACUAAAAAUAUUAAAAUAAAUAUUUCUCAAAUUAAAAAAAUCUUUAUACUUAAAUAACACUAAGAUAAGUGUAACUUAAUAAGCAAAUACCUCUAAAAUAAUAGCAAAAUUAACAAUAAAACAAGUGUUAUACAAUAUACAAACAUUAACAACAAAAUAGUAGCAACAUAAUAAUGAAAUGGUAGUAAAACAGCGACAAAAAGUGGGAAAAUAGCAGCAAAACAGCAGGAUUUUUUUAUUGUAAAUUUGGGCCGGGUCUAGGCCAAAAACUUACCCAAUGCCCAACCCAUUUUCUAAACGGAUCUUUAUUUUUGCCCAAAUCUUUUUUUAAACUUAUAUUUUUACCCAAACCCUCUCAUUUUUCGGGUGAGUGUUGGAUCCGGACAACUCUAAUGUUAACAUUUAUCUCCUUUGCACAAAACUUGGUCAACAAGAAUGGUACUUUUGGAGAAGCUAAGCUUUGGAUAUGGUUUUUUAAUCCAUAAACGGUAGCAAAUUAAGUAAGUUAUGCCUCUUUCCUUUUGAUCUAUUAUAAUAACAUAUUAUUUUUAAACUGUAAUGUUAAAAGAGUAAAUAAUAAUAAUUUUAUAUUCUAAGAAAAAAAUGAUGAUAUUAUUUUAUUGGUAAUUAAAACUUUUUUAUUUUAGGAUUACCUUUAUGAUGAAAUAGAAUUUUCGUAUCUUAAUUAUCCAACAUGCAUUAUUAUUUUAUGCAUUAAGUAAGGUUAUAACACCAAAAUCAUUAUUAUUGCGAUAAUUUAGAAGAGUUUAAGACAAAUUUUUUAAAUUCAAAAAGAUGAAAAUACAAUUUUUAUAUUAUAUUACUUAUAAUUUCACAAAAUUUGAAGGAUUUAAAUAAUAAUUUUACUCUUUUUUAGAAAACCAAAGUCACCGUGGUCAACCACUUAUCUAGAUCUUGUUACUCAUGGGUAGGAUUAUUUAUCCAGACUCGAAAGCCCAUCCGAAAUUUGAAUGGAUUUGGGCAAAAAUAUUUGGCUUAAAAAAUAGGUUCGGACAAAUAAAUUAGACUUGUUUAAACUAUGGGCCGAGUUCAGGCUUGAACAUUCAAGGCCCGAGCCUAGUCUAACCCGUUUUAAGUUUAUAAUACUUUAUAUUAUGUUAUUUUUAUAUAUUAUGUGAUUUAUAACACAUUAAAAAAAUAAAACUAUACUAAAUAUAUAAUACUACUAUAAUGUAAACAUUAAAAUAAUAUUAAGAUAACUAUAUAAAAAAUUUCAAUAAAUAAAAAAAUAUAGAUGGACUUAAAACGAGCUUGGGUUAGUUUUUUACAAAUAUAGACGGAUUUAAACAAAAUUUUAGGCCCACAUUUCGGAUUAGACAAAACUUGAAUAAACAAAGUAUGUUAAUAUUAUAUUUAGACCCGACUCGACCCAACGACCCCUCUACUCUCAUCUACCUGUCGCUUCCAACACAAAAUUUCUAUCCAUUGCACAAGUAAAAAAUUAUAAGACCGAUGAAUAAAUAAAUAAAAAUGGUGUGGAUGGAGUAGAUUGAAUUAAAAAUAUAAAAUGAUUCUUGAUAAAAAAGAAAUUUACGACUGGAAUAUUGAUAGGAUGACAGGUUCCACUAAACAUAAAAGUGACAAUGAUAAGGCUUACCUUUCUGUACGUUUAAUCUUAGAAGCGAGAUUGUGUGGAGUCUAUUAAGCCAGCC
rnacentral:lncRNA from 1 species